rnacentral:rRNA from 1 species
AGCUGGUUGGUGAGGUAACGGCUUACCAAGGCGACGAUCUGUAGCGGGUCUGAGAGGAUGAUCCGCCACACUGGAACUGAGACACGGUCCAGACUCCUACGGGAGGCAGCAGUGGGGAAUUUUGGACAAUGGGGGCAACCCUGAUCCAGCCAUGCCGCGUGAGUGAAGAAGGCCUUCGGGUUGUAAAGCUCUUUCGGCCGGGAAGAAAUCGCAUGGGCCAAUACCCUGUGUGGAUGACGGUACCGGAAUAAGAAGCACCGGCUAACUACGUGCCAGCAGCCGCGGUAAUACGUAGGGUGCGAGCGUUAAUCGGAAUUACUGGGCGUAAAGCGUGCGCAGGCGGUUUUGUAAGACAGGCGUGAAAUCCCCGGGCUCAACCUGGGAACUGCGUUUGUGACUGCAAGGCUAGAGUACGGCAGAGGGGGGUGGAAUUCCACGUGUAGCAGUGAAAUGCGUAGAGAUGUGGAGGAACACCAAUGGCGAAGGCAGCCCCCUGGGUCGAUACUGACGCUCAUGCACGAAAGCGUGGGUAGCAAACAGGAUUAGAUACCCUGGUAGUCCACGCCCUAAACUAUGUCAACUAGGUGUUGGGUGGGUAAAACCAUUUAGUACCGUAGCUAACGCGUGAAGUUGACCGCCUGGGGAGUACGGCCGCAAGGUUAAAACUCAAAGGAAUUGACGGGGACCCGCACAAGCGGUGGAUGAUGUGGAUUAAUUCGAUGCAACGCGAAAAACCUUACCUACCCUUGACAUGCCAGGAACUUGCCAGAGAUGGCUUGGUGCCCGAAAGGGAGCCUGGACACAGGUGCUGCAUGGCUGUCGUCAGCUCGUGUCGUGAGAUGUUGGGUUAAGUCCCGCAACGAGCGCAACCCUUGUCGUUAAUUGCCAUCAUUUAGUUGGGCACUUUAGCGAGACUGCCGGUGACAAACCGGAGGAAGGUGGGGAUGACGUCAAGUCCUCAUGGCCCUUAUGGGUAGGGCUUCACACGUCAUACAAUGGUCGGUACAAAGGGUCGCCAAGCCGCGAGGUGGAGCCAAUCCCAGAAAGCCGAUCGUAGUCCGGAUUGCAGGCUGCAACUCGCCUGCAUGAAGUCGGAAUCGCUAGUAAUCGUGGAUCAGCAUGUCACGGUGAAUACGUUCCCGGGUCUUGUACACACCGCCCGUCACACCAUGGGAGCGGGUUCCGCCAGAAGUAGGUAGCCUAACCGCAAGGAGGGCGCUUACCACGGCGGGGUUCGUGACUGGGGUGAAGUCGAACAAGGUAGCCGUAGGGGAACCUGCGGCUG